UUGCGGUUAAAAAGCUCGUAGUUGGAUUUCUGUUGAAGUCAGUCGGUGCACACCUCGUGUGUUAUUUGACCUGGCUUUGGCAUCCUCUGGGGGAACGUCUCUGGACUUAAUUGGACAGGGCGAGAUUCCAGACUUUUACUUUGAGGAAAUUAGAGUGUUCACGGCAGGCAAGUGCUUUGAAUACAUUAGCAUGGAAUAAUAAUAUAGGACCUUCGUUCUAUUUUGUUGGUUUCUAGAACUUAGGUAAUGAUUAAUAGGGACAAUUGGGGGCAUUCGUAUUAACGCGUCAGAGGGUGAAUUCUUGGAUUGCGUUACGACGAACUGCUGCGAAAGCAUUUGCCAAAGAUGUUUUCAUUGAUCAAGAACGGAAGUAUGGGGAUCGGAGACGCUUAGAUGCCGUCGUAGUCUAUACCAUAAACUAUGCCAACUAGGGAUGUGACGGGUUCUCUUUUAUGGCUCGUUGCGCACCUUAUGAGAAAUCAAAGUUUUUGGGUUCCGGGGGGAGUAUUGUCCAAGGCCGAAACUUAAAGGAAUUGACCGAAGGGCAC
rnacentral:rRNA from 1 species